GCCAUGGCUGAUGCAGAACCUUGCUGUCCCGCAGCUGAACCACCAGCAGGUGACACUGUGGAUGACAGUGCAUCCGUGAGAGAAAGUACCUCUGGUUCAGUUGGUUGCAGGUCUCUCAGGAGGACAAACCCUGAAGGCGCUAACUUCACUGGUGCAUAUCUGCUAUCUUCCAUAAAUUUAAUGAACUUCUCCUGGGCAGGAACAACUCUUGCUGGGUUGGUCAA
rnacentral:misc_RNA from 1 species